CCCAACCAGUUUUUUCCCCAGGACGUUUCCGAGUUAGCCUCUGGUCAUCUUUCUAUUACAAUACUCCCCUGCUCCUAUGGCAGUAUUCUCUUAAGGAAGUCUUUUAUACUAACGUCCAGAUUGCAAUUUCUUUUUCUUUAACAGUAAUGGUGCCAUGACUCUGAUGGAGAGAUGACUGUCCCUCGGACCCUGCUUUCUUUCACCCAAACAUUAAGGCUGUUUUAUCAGAUUGUAUCCUUUCUCGGCUGGGAAAUCAGGAUCCACGCUGGGAUCCUGCUUUUAAGAUGCCUGACCUAACAGGCACUAAAACAACUGGCCUUUGCCAGUACACAAAAUAAAGUGUUCGGCCAGUCCUCUAGGGGGCGCCACAGAGAAAUGCUGACCCUGGGAACUGUUUCUCUCAGUCACCCCUUGUUCGAAAUAUUUCUUAUCCCUGUGUUGUUCAAGGGCAGUCUCUCUGAGCCUAUCUUAGACAAGAAAAGAAAAGGGACUUGCAAAGCUGGUUAAACUUUGUGCUGAGCACUACCAUAGGCGGCUUUGCUGAGGACCACAGGCCCUCACUUCCUGCGCUUGAGCCUGUUUGCCACAUGUCAGCCCCAGAAUCUCAGCCCCAUCCCUUCAGGGCGCACCAGCUUUGCUGCCUCAACUUAUCUCUUAGGACAAUACUUGAUACAGUUCAAGUUUAAGGUCUCCUCCCAUUCACCACCUUCAGCACUGCACCUCUUUUCCACUUUCUUUGGGGACCUAUCCCAGGCCUCAGCAUCUAAAGCUUUGCGUGCCCAUCCCUUACCUGAAACUUGUCUGUCUUAGGCUUUGAGCAUCUCCCUGUUGCGAAACUCUCGCUUAUAGCGUCUUUCCGUACUCAAUUCUAGAUUUACAUUGUUUUCCUUGACAAUACAAGGAGGUUUUUUGGAAAGUAAAAUAUAGAAAGUUGUCAAGAAGCUUCAAUGCUUGACUCAGUAGGAUCAUAGAUUACUGAGAAACAGUAUUUGGUAUCUAUUUAAACAGUAUAAUAAUACAUAUUUUUAAAAGUAGACACAGGUGGUAAUGCUAUUGUAAAUAAUUUUGGCUCUUUUAAGGAAAAAAAACUGUUUUCUUAAAUUAUCAAGAAUAUGACAAAUUCAACACAAAAUGUAGAAAAGUAUUCUGAUAAAACCUUGAAUAGUUGUAUUCUAGGUAGAUUAAUCAAAAGGUGAAGAAAAAUCUUUUACUAGCUCUUAUUAGGAAACCAAUAAUUAAAAAAAAAUCAUUUUAAUAGGAAGAAAACAAAAUUCUAGUUUUGAAACUAAAGCUCUUAUUUAAAAUUUUCUAAAUGAACUCAUUAAACAUAAGCCAGUUUUGGCUAUAAGAAAUAAAAUUUCCUUUCCAUAAACCAUCUACAACUUUCUCUAUCCAUAGCAAGGAUUUUUAUAUAUUUUUCUCUUUCUCAUCUGGAGCAUAUAGUCAUUUUACUUCAGAACAAAACUGCUCUCAUUUUCCUUAACAAAAUACAUCCUGUAUAUCUGGCAUGCAAAGUUUUCUCUCUGCACUACUGUUGCUCCUAUUAGAGUCUAAUUCACAUAUAUCAAUUAUAGUUUUAUAACUACAGUAACUUCAGCUGCACAGA